AGUUUAAAGAUAGAUAGAAAUACUUAUCGGGAUAAAUGGGGGUGCUCUCCCCCAAGCUGAAUUUUGACGUAAUUUCUCUUGAUGUAGCUAGCAGGUGGCAGAGGUGUAUUUGAAAGUCGGCAGUAUCCUGACACCGAUUAGAAUGUCCUCCGUCUACUAGUCUUCUUGAUUCUUGAAUUAUGUGGAGCUCAAAUAGACAACAAAGCUUUGUGGAGCUGAUUAAGUGUUAGCAUAAAUAUCUAGCCUUUAUCAUGUUGAGCUUCCUCAUAAAUAUUUACUCCCUAUUUUUAUAUUUUUGCUUUAUAAAGCAGAAAAUAAAUAUUUAUUUUAUUUUUAUGCCACCACAGUGAAUGUACUUAUGGGUUUUAUGUCACUCGUAUACUCACAUGGGGCUUACUAUUUUUUAACAUUUUUAUUUUCUUUUUUUUAGGAUAGCAUGAACAUGAUUAACUAAGUAAACUAUUUUAAAUAAUUGAAAGGGAAAGGAUAACUACCAAGUUUACCUCUUGGCAAGGCGUUCGGUGCUUUUAAGUCCUCCGAACGGGACUCUGUGUUUUCACAGUUGUCCUAGGAUUCGUUGGGUGGGGGAGUCGGUGCUUCCAGCGGCGCCUCUUCUUCAUGUAUGGUUAUCUUUUCUCUCCACACCUGACUUGGUGCUUCGGUUUCCUCAGGAUAAUUCUAUUUAAACUGUAAGUCUUCUGACCUUACCACUUCUCCUUCAUAGUCUGCCCAUCCGUCCUUGAUGAUUUGCCUCCUCUGGUUGCGGUUGCGUCGUUUCCUGACCUGCUUAGAGUCUUCAACGAUAUAGUUAGGGUCAGUAAAAUAGCGGCGUACCUUCUCUGAGGGGAAGUAUAUAUGGACUUCUCCAGUUCCAAUGUAGAUGAUUGCUUUAACGGUGCUGAGGAACGGUCUUCCAAGGAUGAUGGGUGGAUCAUAUUCGUCUUCGCCCAUGUCGAUAACCUAAAAGUCUGUAUAGACAAAAUGAUCGUCUAUUUUGACAGGGACAUUAGUUCCUAUACCUUUAACUUCUCAAAAUGUCUGAUCUGCCACCUAGAGCUGAAUGUAUGUUGGUUUUAGGGGCAUGGUUCCGAACAAGAGCCGAUAGGUGACUGCGGCCAUUAUGUUGACACCCGAUCCGGUGUCGCAAAACGUCUUGUAGAAGUUGUUGUUGACACUAUUUUUGGGCAUGUACCUAGGGACUAGUAAAGUAUAGAUCGGCAGGUGGAGCAACGGUAACAAGUCUACAGGAAAGUUGCCGAUGAGGGUAGUUGCCGAUGGAGAGACGAUUGAAUGUGACUGAGUCCAGAGGUGGUGACAUGUUCUUGCCGAUGAUCAGUAUUGAUGUUUGCCGAUGGCCAUAACAGGGAAUCUUCCAAUGACUAUGAAGGAAAGCAUGGAGAUUGCCGAUUGAUCUGUGACGGUGUCCCGGUCGGUUACAAGGGGAUAGUUUUAUGUUUUCCUUAGUUAUUUAAAUUCGUUUGGUAUACGGAUUCCGUUUAGUUUGGAAAUCGAGUCCUAGUCGUAUCUGAUUGUAGCUCUUUGAACAGGGUAUAAAUCUAGACCCUAGGGCCUUGUAGCAAUCAAUCAAUCAAAUAAACACAAGUUUUUACUCAUAUUCCAGCAUAUACUUUUUCGACGACUUUGUCAUAUCUUUUCCUUUUACUACGAGUUCCUAGGAAUUCGUUGACUUAAGUUUGGCGUAUUCUCGAGUUCCGCGUGAGCACCUCUUGGCCGUGACAUCCAGGCGCAUCGCUGUUGUCGGGACCAAAGUUUUCGAGUUAUCACCUUUGCCGAUAGUAAGGUCAAAUCGGCUAGCACGCCUUAACGUUU
rnacentral:lncRNA from 1 species